rnacentral:rRNA from 1 species
GACGAACGCUGGCGGCGUGCUUAACACAUGCAAGUCGAACGGAAAGGCCCUGCUUUUGUGGGCUGCUCGAGUGGCGAACGGGUGAGUAACACGUGAGUAACCUGCCAUUGACUUUGGGAUAACUUCAGGAAACUGGGGCUAAUACAAGAUAGGAGAUCCCCCUGCAUGGUGGGGGUUGGAAAGUUUCGGCGGUUGCGGAUGGACUCGCGGCUUAUCAGCUUGUUGGUGGGGUAGUGGCUUACCAAGGCUUUGGCGGGUAACCGACCUGGGAGGGUGAACGGCCACAUGGGGACUGGGAGAGGCUCCAGACUCGUAUGGGAGGCAGCAGUGGGGGGUAUUGCACAAUGGGAGGAAGCCUGAUGCAGAAACGCCCCGUGCGGAAUGACGGCCUUCGGGUUGUAAACCGCUUCCGGUUGUCACGAAGCGUGAGUGACGGUAAUGGAUAAAGAAGCACCGGCUAACUACGUG